rnacentral:rRNA from 1 species
UACGAAGGGGGCUAGCGUUGUUCGGAAUUACUGGGCGUAAAGCGUACGUAGGCGGAACGUUAAGUCAGGGGUGAAAUCCCGAGGCUCAACCUCGGAACUGCCUUUGAUACUGGCGCUCUUGAGUCCGGGAGAGGUGAGUGGAACUCCUAGUGUAGAGGUGAAAUUCGUAGAUAUUAGGAAGAACACCAGUGGCGAAGGCGGCUCACUGGCCCGGAACUGACGCUGAGGUACGAAAGCGUGGGGAGCGAACAGG